rnacentral:sRNA from 1 species
CGAAAGCCUGACGGAGCAAUACCGCGUGAGGGAAGAAGGCUCUAGGGUUGUAAACCUCUUUUCUCAGGGAAGAACAAAAUGACGGUACCUGAGGAAUAAGCAUCGGCUAACUCCGUGCCAGCAGCCGCGGUAAUACGGAGGAUGCAAGCGUUAUCCGGAAUGAUUGGGCGUAAAGCGUCCGCAGGUGGCAAUUUAAGUCGAUUGUUAAAGCCCAGGGCUUAACCCUGGAGGUGCAGUGGAAACUGAAAUGCUCGAGUGCGGUAGGGGCAGAGGGAAUUCCCAGUGGAGCGGUGAAAUGCGUAGAGAUUGGGAAGAACACCAGUGGCGAAAGCGCUCUGCUAGGCCGCAACUGACACUAAUGGACGAAAGCUAGGGGAGCGAAUGGGAUUAGAUACCCCAGUAGUCCUAGCCGUAAACGAUGGAUACUAGGCGUUGAGAGGAUCGACCCUCGCAGUGCCGUAGCUAACGCGUUAAGUAUCCCGCCUGGGGAGUACGCGCGCAAGCGUGAAACUCAAAGGAAUUGACGGGGGCCCGCACAAGCGGUGGAGUAUGUGGUUUAAUUCGAUGCAACGCGAAGAACCUUACCAGGGCUUGACAUGUCCGGAACCCUGCCCAAAGGUGGGGGUGCCUACGGGAGCCGGAACACAGGUGGUGCAUGGCUGUCGUCAGCUCGUGUCGUGAGAUGUUGGGUUAAGUCCCGCAACGAGCGCAACCCUCGUGCUUAGUUGCCAGCAUUAAGUUGGGCACUCUAAGCAGACUGCCGGUGACAAACCGGAGGAAGGUGGGGAUGACGUCAAGUCAGCAUGCCCCUUACGUCCUGGGCUACACACGUACUACAAUGCUACGGACAAAGGGAAGCUAAGCAGCGAUGCCAAGCAAAUCCCAUAAACCGUGGCUCAGUUCAGAUUGCAGGCUGCAACUCGCCUGCAUGAAGGCGGAAUCGCUAGUAAUCCCAGAUCAGCAUGGCUGGGGUGAAUACGUUCCCGGGCCUUGUACACACCGCCCGUCACACCAUGGAAGCUGGUUAUGCCCGAAGUCGUUACCCUAACCGCGUGCGGAGGGGGACGCCGAAGGCAGAGCUGGUGACUGGGGUGAAGUCGUAACAAGGUAGCCGUACCGGAAAGGUGCGGCUGGAUCACCUCCUUUACAGGGAGACCAACUGAAAGGAUGAAGGAUGAAGGAGGAAGGAGGAAGCUUGAAACUUCAGCCCAAAUCACUUCAAACAACCGAACAAGUACCCUUCACCAUUCAGACAUCCCAGGUCGAGCGAGAUUGGAAACGCUGGCUUUCAAACUAGAUUCGGUUCGGUAAAAAGUUCGUGCCAUCCGUGCUUUGGAGUUCGGUUGUGCCCACUCGGCAACAGCGCUCGGGUUGUUAGAGUAGGGAAGUGCAAGAAAAAGCAUUGCUAAAAAGCAAUAAAACUAAAGCUUUAAAUCUUUCGGAGCAACGAAUUCAGCAUCAGGCGAUAACAGGCUGAAUGCUGGACGAGUGUCCAGUAGUGAACCUUGAAAACUGCAUAGCAACUUGUCAAAUGUAAUCAGAUAGCAUUCGUCUAUCAGUUGAAUAACUGGUAGUUGAGUGCAUCAAUUGCACGUAGACACCAAUGUUUAAUUGUGGUCAAGCUAAUACGGCUUACGGUGAAUACCUAGGCACACAGAGGCGAAGAAGGACGUGGCGACCGACGAAAAACUCCGGGGAGCUGGAAGCGAGCAAUGAGCCGGAGGUAUCCGAAUGGGGAAACCCCAAGCACAGCCUGUUGAAUAAAUAGACAGGCGUGAGCGAACCUGGCAAACUGAAACAUCUUAGUAGCCAGAGGAAAAGAAAGAAAAAUCGAUUCCCCAAGUAGUGGUGAGCGAACGGGGAGUAGCCUAAACCAAUUGAUAGAUCAACUGGGGUAGUGGGACAGCGAAAUGGAAUCUUCAAGCUAGACGAAGCAGUCAAAAGCUGCACCAAAGAAGGUGAUAGUCCUGUAGUCGAAAGUAGAAAAGAUACUAGCUGCAUCCCGAGUAGCACGGUACCCGAGGAAUUCCGUGUGAAUCAGCGAGGACCACCUCGUAAGGCUAAAUACUAAUGUGUGACCGAUAGUGAACCAGUACCGCGAGGGAAAGGUGAAAAGAACCCCGCAAGGGGAGUGAAAUAGAACAUGAAACCGUAAGCUUACAAGCAGUGGGAGGACGAUUCAACGUCUGACCGCGUGCCUGUUGAAGAAUGAGCCGGCGACUUAUAGGCACUGGUAGGUGAAGACGCAAAUGUCAUAGCCACAGCGAAAGCGAGUCUGAAUAGGGCGAUGAAUCAGUGUUUAUAGACCCGAACCCGGGUGAUCUAACCAUGUCCAGGAUGAAGCUUGGGUAAAACCAAGUGGAGGUCCGCACCGACCGAUGUUGAAAAAUCGGCGGAUGAGGUGUGGUUAGGGGUGAAAUGCCAAUCGAACCCGGAGCUAGCUGGUUCUCCCCGAAAUGUGUUGAGGCGCAGCGGUUGUGAAUAAAGUCUGGGGGUAAAGCACUGUUUCGGUGCGGGCUGCGAUAAGCGGUACCAAAUCGAGACAAACUAAGAAUACCAGGCGAACACACAGCCAGUGAGACGGUGGGGGAUAAGCUUCAUCGUCAAGAGGGAAACAGCCCAGACCACCAGCUAAGGCCCCCAAAUUGUCACUAAGUGAUAAAGGAGGUGGGAGUGCAUUGACAACCAGGAGGUUUGCCUAGAAGCAGCCAACCUUAAAAGAGUGCGUAAUAGCUCACUGGUCAAGCGCUCCUGCGCCGAAAAUGAACGGGGCUAAGUGACAUGCCGAAGCUGUGGGAUAUGUUACAUAUCGGUAGGGGAGCGUUCUGUAGUAGGUUGAAGCACUAGCGGCAAGCAGGUGUGGACGAAGCAGAAGUGAGAAUGUCGGCUUGAGUAGCGAAAACAUUGGUGAGAAUCCAAUGCCCCGAAACCCUAAGGGUUCCUCCGGCAGGUUCGUCCGCGGAGGGUAAGUCAGGACCUAAGGCGAGGCCAAACGGCGUAGUCGAUGGACAACGGGUGAAUAAUCCCGUACUAAGUAUCAGUAGUGCAGAGGGACGGAGAAGGCGAAUGUCAGCCGGAAGUUGGUUACCGGUUCAACUGUCCAAGGUGAUGAGAAGCGGAGAAAACGCUUCGAGCCAAGGCGGGAGUACGAGACCCUAAGGGGUCGAAGUGGCAUAGUCAAGCUUCCAAGAAAAGCUCGGUGGCACGAUAACUGAUAAUUACCUGUACCCGAAACCGACACAGGUAGGGAGGUUGAGAAAACCAAGGGGCGCGAGAUAACUCUCUCUAAGGAACUCGGCAAAAUGGCCCCGUAACUUCGGAAGAAGGGGUGCCCACGAGAGUGGGUCGCAGUGAAGAGAUCCAGGCGACUGUUUACCAAAAACACAGGUCUCCGCUAAGUCAAAUGACGAAGUAUGGGGGCUGACGCCUGCCCAGUGCCGGAAGGUUAAGGAAGUCGGUCAGGGAGGAAUCCUAAAGCUGGCGACUGAAGCCCCGGUGAACGGCGGCCGUAACUAUAACGGUCCUAAGGUAGCGAAAUUCCUUGUCGGGUAAGUUCCGACCCGCACGAAAGGCGUAACGAUCUGGAUGGUGUCUCAGAGAGAGACUCGGCGAAAUAGGAAUGUCUGUGAAGAUACGGACUACCUGCACCAGGACAGAAAGACCCUAUGAAGCUUUACUGUAGCCUGGAAUUGGGUUCGGGCUUGGCUUGCGCAGGAUAGGUGGGAGGCGUUGAGACUACCCUUGUGGGGGUAGUGGAGCCAACGGUGAGAUACCACUCUGGCGAAGCUAGAAUUCUAACCACUAGCCGUAAUCCGGCAGUGGAACAGUUACAGGUGGGCAGUUUGACUGGGGCGGUCGCCUCCUAAAAGGUAACGGAGGCGCGCAAAGGUUCCCUCAGGCUGGUUGGAAAUCAGCCAUCAGAGUGUAAAAGCACAAGGGAGCUUGACUGCAAGAGCAACAACUCGAGCAGGUAGGAAACUAGGCUUUAGUGAUCCGACGGCACUGCGUGGGAAGGGCCGUCGCUCAACGGAUAAAAGUUACUCUAGGGAUAACAGGCUGAUCUCCCCCAAGAGUCCACAUCGACGGGGAGGUUUGGCACCUCGAUGUCGGCUCAUCGCAACCUGGGG